AGUGAACGCUGGCGGUAGGCCUAACACAUGCAAGUCGAACGGCAGCACAGGAGAGCUUGCUCUCUGGGUGGCGAGUGGCGGACGGGUGAGGAAUACAUCGGAAUCUACUUUUUCGUGGGGGAUGACGUAGGGAAACUUACGCUAAUACCGCAUACGACCUACGGGUGAAAGCAGGGGACCUUCGGGCCUUGCGCGAUUGAAUGAGUCGAUGUCGGAUUAGCUAGUUGGCGGGGUAAAGGCCCACCAAGGCGACGAUCAGUAGCUGGUCUGAGAGGAGGAUCGCCCACACUGGAACGGAGACACGGGCCAGACCCCUACGGGAGGCAGCAGUGGGGAAUAUUGGGCAAUGGGCGGAAGCCUGAUCCAGCCAUCCCGCGUGGGUGAAGGAGGCCUUCCGGUAGUAAAUCCCUUUUGUUGGAAAAGAAAUCCAGCCGGCUAAUGCCUGGUUGGGAUGACGGUACCCAAAGAAUAAGCACCGGCUAACUUCGUGCCAGCCGCCGCCGUAA
rnacentral:rRNA from 1 species